rnacentral:rRNA from 1 species
UGGGGAAUAUUGCACAAUGGGCGAAAGCCUGAUGCAGCGACGCCGCGUGCGGGAUGAAGGCCUUCGGGUUGUAAACCGCUUUUAAUUGGGAGCAAGCGAGAGUGAGUGUACCUUUUGAAUAAGCACCGGCUAACUACGUGCCAGCAGCCGCGGUAAUACGUAGGGUGCAAGCGUUAUCCGGAAUUAUUGGGCGUAAAGAGCUCGUAGGCGGUUUGUCACGCCUGGUGUGAAAGUCCAUCGCUUAACGGUGGAUCUGCGCCGGGUACGGGCAGGCUAGAGUGCAGUAGGGGAGAUUGGGAUUCCCGGUGUAACGGUGGAAUGUGUAGAUAUCGGGAAGAACACCAAUGGCGAAGGCAGAUCUCUGGGCUGUUACUGACGCUGAGGAGCGAAAGCAUGGGGAGCGAACAGGAUUAGAUACCCUGGUAGUCCAUGCCGUAAACGGUGGAUGCUGGAUGUGGGACCCUUCCACGGGUUCCGUGUCGGAGCUAACGCGUUAAGCAUCCCGCCUGGGGAGUACGGCCGCAAGGCUAAAACUCUAAAGUGAAUUGAC